UUAAAGCCCUUAAGCCUUGCAUAAAAGAACCAGUGAAUUUUGACUUCAGGCUGAAGUGGUUCUUAUAUAAUCUUACUUCACACUAUACUUUUUGAUAUUCUACACAUUAAAUAGGGACUGUUGUUGCACAAAACUAUUGCAAUGACACUAAUAUGGUUCUUGUUGCAUAUAUUAAAACUUGUUAUUGCCCACUAACAAACCUCAGACUAUAAGCCCUGGGCUUGUAAGUGAUUUUUGAUGGGCUUAUACAAGGGUGGGCUUAUAUACGGGGGGGGCUUAUACAUGGACAAUUUUUUGUGUUAG